rnacentral:rRNA from 1 species
GAUGAACGCUGGCGGCGUGCCUAAUACAUGCAAGUCGAGCGAACAGACGAGGAGCUUGCUCCUCUGACGUUAGCGGCGGACGGGUGAGUAACACGUGGAUAACCUACCUAUAAGACUGGGAUAACUUCGGGAAACCGGAGCUAAUACCGGAUAACAUGUUGAACCGCAUGGUUCAACAGUGAAAGACGGUCUUGCUGUCACUUAUAGAUGGAUCCGCGCCGCAUUAGCUAGUUGGUAAGGUAACGGCUUACCAAGGCAACGAUGCGUAGCUGACCUGAGAGGGUGAUCGGCCACACUGGAACUGAGACACGGUCCAGACUCCUACGGGAGGCAGCAGUAGGGAAUCUUCCGCAAUGGGCGAAAGCCUGACGGAGCAACGCCGCGUGAGUGAAGAAGGUCUUCGGAUCGUAAAACUCUGUUAUUAGGGAAGAACAAAUGUGUAAGUAACUAUGCACGUCUUGACGGUACUUAAUCAGAAAGCCACGGCUAACUACGUG